AAUCCAUAGGUUAAUGAGGCGAACCGGGGGAACUGAAACAUCUAAGUACCCCGAGGAAAAGAAAUCAACCGAGAUUCCCCCAGUAGCGGCGAGCGAACGGGGAGGAGCCCAGAGCCUGAAUCAGCAUGUGUGUUAGUGGAAGCGUCUGGAAAGGCGCGCGAUACAGGGUGACAGCCCCGUACACAAAAGCGCAUGUGCUGUGAGCUCGAUGAGUAGGGCGGGACACGUGGUAUCCUGUCUGAAUAUGGGGGGACCAUCCUCCAAGGCUAAAUACUCCUGACUGACCGAUAGUGAACCAGUACCGUGAGGGAAAGGCGAAAAGAACCCCGGCGAGGGGAGUGAAAAAGAACCUGAAACCGUGUACGUACAAGCAGUGGGAGCACAGGU
rnacentral:rRNA from 3 species